GAAACUAUUUCUUAUGCAAGACUUACUUUAAAAAACUUGAGAUAAAUAUUCUUCUGUAUGCACUUGCACAUUUUAGAUUAGACGUUGUUUUAAAAAUGACAAAUAGUGCUUGCAGUUGUUCCUGUCGUUGUCGGUAUGACGUAUACUAGACUGAUUUAGAGAACAUAACGCGAACUGAAAGACCCGCCUUCGAAACAAAGAUACUUUUUAAGCAAAACAAAAAGUUUGAAUAAUUUGUGGCUCAGAAGUACCUUCAACCACAGAAUAAGAAGGUUCAGCAGAAGCGUGACUCAAGCAAGUAUUUGUCCGCGUUUUUACAAGCGAUUCGUCAUCAAUCACGUCAUCUUGGCUAGUACAACCGGCACUUUGUACCUACCAAAACCUGAUAAAAACGUCUGGUUGUACUAGCCAGGAUAGCGUGAGCGAGUUAAAAUUUUCGUGGGCGUAAAACAAUAAGGGAACCGACUCGAGGUACACUUCUGCUGUACCUUUUUAUUCUUGUGAUUCAACGUUGUCAUUCUGAAUGCAACAUUAAAAUAAGAUUUCACGUCAUUGUCGUCAUUGGAGCAAAGUGAAUGCUUGUUGCGAGUCUUGCGACGUUGUAGGAGUUACAUAAAAUCUGUUUCGUAGCAGAGGUCAUAGUUAUAUAUGCAUGAGUAAGCCUGGGACUGCUUGGGACGAUUACAUAAUUGUUAGUAUAAAUAGAGUUUUUGUAAAUAGACUAUCAUAUCAUGAAAUAGUAGUUAGAAUAAAGUAGUUCACCGUUUAUGAUCAUCACAGCAGACACCGCGGAUCAUUUUUUCCCGAUCUUACAGCCGUUUGUAAGCCUAAGGUUAUUUUAAAAAGCUUCAAUUUAUUCCAGUAAUCAAGUCCUUAGCUCUCAAUCUUGAAGUGAAAUUCAGACCGCAUCGUCGUCUUUUCGAAAUCUGUCUACUAACAUCGAAAUGGACCUGAAACUGGUCCGACAAAUUGUAAACGUACCCUUAGAGAUAAUAAACUUCUUAGGAAUCGUACUUGCAUUAACAGGAAGUUAUCUCAUUCAAGGUUUUAUUUUCAACAUUAUUAAAAGAACAAAAUAACGAAUUGUAGUAGCGAUAUAUCUAUAGUAACACUGAUGGUUCGAGAUAAUACGAGUUAUACAAGAACACGAUUAUACUUAUAAACCAAGCUGCGUUUACACACUGCGAUUGAUUAGUGUUAACUUGUUGAUCAUUUGUUAAUUUUAAAUAAAGUAUUGCCUGCCUGAUUCGCUUUCUGGCGUAUGUCAUUGAGUAAACACGCGUAAGCUGGCUACAUUUGAAAUUUCUUUUUAACGAAACGGCAAGUAUUGCAAACAAAUAUUGUAUAAAUCACACUUUUUAUUAUAUUAUGAUGACGUCAUAGUGACGUCUUGACUGACAUAAUCUAAUUAUGUGAAUUUAUUGUCAAGUAAACAUAAAAAAGAUUAACAACCAAAAGAAAAGUUACAAUCGUAUUUUCUCGCGACAACUUAGACAUAAAAUUGGCUUAAAAUGUGUAUAUGUAUAGACUAUAUAGAGACAAUAAUGUAAGGACGCAC